GGACCCGCACAAGUAGUGGAGCAUGUGGUUUAAUUCGAAGAUACGCGCAGAACCUUACCAACACUUGACAUGUUCGUCGCGACUCUAAGAGAUUAGAGUUUUCGGUUCGGCCGGACGAAACACAGGUGCUGCAUGGCUGUCGUCAGCUCGUGUCGUGAGAUGUUGGGUUAAGUCCCGCAACGAGCGCAACCCUCACUUUUAGUUGCCAUCAUUAAGUUGGGCACUCUGAAAGAACUGCCAGUGAUAAGCUGGAGGAAGGUGGGGAUGACGUCAAGUCCUCAUGGCCCUUACGUGUUGGGCUACACACGUGCUACAAUGGCAUCUACAAUAGGAAGCAAGACGGCGACGUCAAGCAAAUCCUAAAAAUAUGCCUCAGUUCGGAUUGUACUCUGCAACUCGAGUACAUGAAGCUGGAAUUACUAGUAAUCGCGGAU
rnacentral:rRNA from 1 species